GGGGGGCAAGCAUAGCUGGUGCGUGCCUUGGACUUCAAAUCCAAAGAGCGUCUAGGUGUCUGGAUGCUGGAAAGUUCGAUUCUUUCGCCCUCUC
rnacentral:tRNA from 1 species